GAUGAACGCUGGCGGCGUGCCCAAUACAUGCCAGUCGAGCGAACGGACGAGAAGCUUGCUUUUCUGAUGUUAGCGGCGGACGGGUGAGUAACACGUGGAUAACCUACCUAUAAGACUGGGAUAACUUCGGGAAACCGGAGCUAAUACCGGAUAAUAUUUUGAACCGCAUGGUUCAAAAGUGAAAGACGGUCUUGCUGUCACUUAUAGAUGGAUCCGCGCUGCAUUAGCUAGUUGGUAAGGUAACGGCUUACCAAGGCAACGAUGCAUAGCCGACCUGAGAGGGUGAUCGGCCACACUGGAACUGAGACACGGUCCAGACUCCUACGGGAGGCAGCAGUAGGGAAUCUUCCGCAAUGGGCGAAAGCCUGACGGAGCAACGCCGCGUGAGUGAUGAAGGUCUUCGGAUCGUAAAACUCUGUUAUUAGGGAAGAACAUAUGUGUAAGUAACUGUGCACAUCUUGACGGUACCUAAUCAGAAAGCCACGGCUAACUACGUG
rnacentral:rRNA from 1 species